UAGGGAAUAUUGGACAAUGGAGGCAACCCUGAUCCAGCCAUGCCGCGUGAGUGAAGAAGGCCCUCGGGUUGUAAAGCUCUUUUGUCCGGAAAGAAAAGCAUUCGGUGAAUACCCGGAUGUUCUGACGGUACCGGAAGAAUAAGCACCGGCUAACUUCGUGCCAGCAGCCGCGGUAAUACGAAGGGUGCAAGCGUUACUCGGAAUUACUGGGCGUAAAGCGUGCGUAGGUGGUUGUUUAGGUCUGAUGUGAAAGCCCUGGGCUCAACCUGGGAAUGGCAUUGGAAACUGGGCAGCUAGAGUGCGGUAGAGGGUAGUGGAAUUCCCAGUGUAGCAGUGAAAUGCGUAGAGAUCGGGAGGAACAUCUGUGGCGAAGGCGACUGCCUGGACCAGCACUGACACUGAGGCACGAAAGCGUGGGGAGCAAACA
rnacentral:rRNA from 1 species